ensembl:lncRNA
GAACUCUACUAGUAACUUAAUAUGUUAUCAUUUUGUCUAAUUAGCAGGGAAUAGGAAGAGUUGAAUAAUGUCUUUGUUUAUGUAAUUUGGCUAUAAAGUAAAGCAAAAUUCUGCCGGGUGAAUGCAAUUUCCUAUUGACUUUCACAUCGCAUUGGACACCCUCCUUGUGGCCAUGGCUGCUCAGGUGAUCUCUCUUUCCUGGAAGUUUCACUUUUCACACAGGCAAUUAUCAUAGCAAAUUUGUGUCAUCUCAGUCAUAAUCAGGCCUAUUUGAAGGGAUGUUGUCAUUAACAGUUUAGUUCCAAAUACAUAUUUUCCCCUAAGUAGGUUGGAACUAACAUAGUGUUGUUGUUUCCAGAGCCAAAGACAAGAAGGCCACAUUUGUGUUUUAAGUCUUAGGAUCCUAAUUUCUUAAUUCCAUACAUUGGAUCCUUGCUGUCUGAGUUUCCACAGGGCCUAGGGAAGAGAUAGGACCCAAGCCGUCAUCAGGCUGUCCUUGCAGGCUUCUUGCAGAGUCGCUGGAAUACUUGAUUGUUUUUCAGUAUUUCAGCAGCUUCCUCUAUGAGGAUGUGUUCACCUCACCCACAGAAGCCCUUUUCAAAUGUUACUGAGAAGACUGAUAAGAAGAAGAAGCAUCCACUGAUGAGUUCUCGGAAAGAAAGCAUCCGAUUUAACUACAGGGCAAGAGCGCUGAGUCCCACAGGCCCGGCUGACAGCGAGGGAGCCAGGCGGCACCCGCUCUUCCCAGAGUGGUGCAGGAAAGAGGCGACCACAUGGUUGGUAUCAUCAUUUCUGAACUUUUUAAGGUUGAUAGAGGAGAACGUCACCAGAGACGAUAAUUCAGUUUGGAAUGAAUACGUUUUCAGUGCAGUAUUCACUACCUGCUGGUUUGUGUUUUCAAUCCUAAAGUCCAUAUUCACAUUUUACCAUGUGGACAAGAUACAGCACAAGCUAGGUGAAGAUCCUACUGUAUGCAAAUAAUAAAGUUUCUGGCCAAAUUCACUUUUUGAAAAGAGAAAGAAAGAUUAAAACUCUUUCCAGCAUCUCUAAGCUGCGGCUUAUGGCCUUGUAAAGAGCACUGGUGACAGAGAGCAAAGCCAGACCACAGCCGAGGCCGCCUUCCCUGCUCCUGCUGCACGCUCUGCAGAGCCGCUGGUCGCUGGUUUUAAUGUUUCAGAAUGUUCACUGCAUGUCGUCUGAGGCUCACCAUAGUCACCGCAACUCCAGUUAGGGGGUGCUCGAUGGCUUGGCAUGUGACCACACUCAGAGCUGCCCAAGAAAGCGGACCUGGAAGGACCAGCCAGUCCCUGAGCCCAUGCGUGUCCCUGACGCGCCACAGUGUUCUUCACGGCUCCUUUACUUUCGGGAGCAGUACCCUCUCCCGUCCUGUGGUGCUGGCCUUGGCCGUGUAACACCAAUGAGGUAUCAGCAGGUGUGACAGGAGCAGGUACUCAUCUUAGACGUCUAUAAAGAUCACGUGUCUGUGUGAACACAGGACAAGCACAGUUCUCCGGUGUUGAUGGGGAUAUAAAAUUUUACCUUGCCUUCUUUGACCACAGUGUGAAAUUUCAAAGUAUAAACAUGAUCGAAAAAAGAGUGUCUUCAAAAACAGAGAAACAACAGCAUUUCAUUUUCCCAGAACCUUUCCAGGCUCAGUCAGACGGCUGCCCAGCAGCCACUAGAAACAACACCCCAUUCCCCACACCACCCCCGCCUGUAAGUAAGGGGCACCAUCAACGCUGAGAAAGAAAUUGCCACAGUAACAAAACUUAUGGGAGUGGAUAACUUCUCACAGAACUUGCCAAUCAGCCACAGACGCAGAUCUGCCUUCCUUCUCCCUCACUCCACCCUUAGCUCAGGAGAACAGCCUAAACCCUCAGGAGAAGCUGCCUUUCAGCCGAAGAAGAAGGCUCCACACGACACGGCCGUGUUGGAGUAUUUUGCUUGUGCUUCCUUUCCGUCUUCUUUACUACGCAGAUGUGUGUGUGUGUAAGUGUGUGUUGUGUUGCUUUGCUUUUUCUCUUUGCUCAGGGUUCAGAAGAGUUAUGAUUUCAACUGAAGACAUCACACGAAUGUGGCUAAAAAAGCAAACAAUACAGAAAUGUAUGAAAUAAAAUCAAAUGUCUCCGUCUCCACACCCUCACCGUUCCCCAAUUCUCUCGGACUUCCUAAGAACAGAAAUUCUGUGAGGAGAGGAGAGUGUGUGUACAGGGGGAGGUGGGGGGUCGGAGGGAGAGAAAGAGGCUUGAUAUUGUCUUAUUUAUAAUUUAAAAAAAUAUAUUGCACACAUACACACUCCUCCCUUCAUCUCCCCUCCACCCAAAAAAAGAAAAAAUGGAACAAAACAAACAAGAAAACCAAACUUCUGCUGUUCGGAAGUCUAAGAGAAUUGCUGGUUAAAGGUCUUUCAGAUUAAGCUCGUUCCAAAGACAUUUCCAGUGUAACCAAACAAUGAGAAGCAUUGGUGUCCAGCCAGCCGCAGCCCCUGCCGCCUCCGGUUUAGAGCAAUUUCAUGAUGAUUAACUCAAAGAGAAGACAGAGAUGGGUUCACGGAAUAAGAAAACAAACAACUCAAAAUUCCCCUCUAUUUAUUUAUAUUUAAACUAUCUUAUUUUUAUCCAUUAUUUUAGAUAAUAAAUUUAUGUGCUUUUAGGAUGAUUUUCUUUGGUAGGGAAAAAUCUCUUAGGCCUUGCAUUUUCUCCUUAAUUAUAAAGGGUUGUGGAAUGUUUUCUGAGAACAGAAAUCUUUCCUCAAGGAAUUAUUUUUCCUAGAAUGUUAGGAGGGUCUCUAGGUAAGCAAUGAUGUCAGUGCAAAUGUUUUACUUCUCUCCUCUUCCAUCCAAGUUGGCUUAAUAUGUUUUAGUUCUAUUACGUGACUAUUUUUAGAACAGAUUGGAAAAUUUGCUCACCAAGAGAACAAUGAUUAACUAAAUCUGUAAAGUGCCAUUUCACUAUCAAUAAAAAGAAAAUCUAAACCCACAACUAAUGGCCCCGAGUUUCCUGCUUGCGUAGAGGAGUCUCUUUAGACCAAAGUGUUAUUUUUGAAAUCUUUAGGUUUUUUUCUUCCUUUCCCCACGUCAUUCUACCUUUUAAAAAACUUAUCCACUCUAUUAAUAAUAAAGAAAUAUACUCCCAAUCUUCACCCUCUUUUUAGCUACACACUUGAGUCUCAUGGUCAGGUUUUCCUCCGAGCACCUCUUCCAGAUUUGCCGUGAGACAGUGUAGAGCAUUGGUUAGGAGUGUGGGCUCUGGAAACAGCCUGUCCUGACUCCAGACCUGACGAGCUAUCUGGCUUAGAUUAAUUUUCCUAAUCUCUCUAUUCCUCAGUUUUCUUAACUGUAAAAUGGGGGGUAAAAUUUACAUUAUAAUGUAAAUUUGGUAAGGUUGUUAUAAAGAUUGAAGGAGAAAAUAUAAGUGAAGCCCUUAAUAUACUUCUAUCCCACAAUAAGCUUCAGUGGAGGGGAGUUUAAAAAAUAAGAUAUACAGAACAAAAACAUGUUAACUUUCAAAAAAUCCCGAAAGUAAUAAAAAAAAGAAAAGAAAAAGAAAAAAAUGCCAAAC